rnacentral:lncRNA from 1 species
AAAAUUUCUACCACCUUUCAAACUAGUACUCCAUCUGCGGUCCAAGUGUUUGACACAUGAACCUCUGGGAUCAUUUCAUAGUUAAAUCAUAAUGUAAGUGGCCAAUACAUUUCAAGCUGUGUCAAGGUGAUGUAAUUAGUAUUCCUGAUAACAUGAAACUGUGAUAAGAUAUGAAAAUUCUAUUUUAAAAAUGUUUAACCACAAGUCUACCUAACUUUAUAUUUAUGUGUAGAAUACUUGUAUUUAUUUUUAGACAUAUAUUUAUCACUUUGUGUGCUGUAUUUUUUUAAGUCAAUUUGAGAAAAUGCUAGGUGCCCAAUGAAUUAAUUGGCAGACCCCUGUGUCUUCCUCUUUGCUGUGGCAGUGUCCCGUUCCCACACUAAGCCUUUUAAACAUGCUCUGCCCUUGGGAGCAAAGUCAGGAAACAUGUUGCUCCAGCUGUACUGUACUGUCUUGGUAAUGACAAAAAUGCUUUUCAAGCCCCAUAGAAGUGGCCUGCAAGUGGCAGUUCACCCUUCCAUCUCUGAACCACAACCGCUCACUAAAUGAACAGAUUCAUUUUUAAAGUGAUUAACAAUUUGGGGUGACCUUCAGAGUGUGUUUGACUGGGAUAAAGUAUUUUUGAAUGCCCAUAAGGCCACUUAAUAAUCAUUAGUGGGUGAGCCAGAGGCUGGGACAGAGCUCUGACUUACAUGUGAGAACUUUAUUCUCAGCCAACAGCUCCUUCACCAACUGGUAAGCAGUCCCACCUGCCAUAUCCUGAGGUUUAAAAAUAGUGAGUGCUCACCUUAAACCACGGUACCUUAGGCUUUGCACUUGUUUUUGGUAGAGCAGGAAUAAAAUAUUUUGAUGGAAAGAAGUCAGUUUUAUGUAACCAGUGAUGUGAAAAAUUGAUCUCCUGGGAAACUCCUUAUAUAGCCAUUUUUAAAUGCAAAUAUAUUAUUAUGAUUGGUUACAAGAGAUUAGCGUUUCAUGUUUAAUUGUAAUAUUUCUCACCUACCCUCUUCUUUCCUCUCAGUUAUAUCAUUUAUCAGUAAAUGAGUGUUUUACGAGUCCCAUUUUGAACAUUAUCUUUUGAAUAUUCUAUAAAACAUACCUAAUGGUUUCGUUGUCAGCUGAGGCAUACUGUGGAAGGAGAGGCAGUCGCUGCCCCCUGGUGCCUUCAUUCUGUCUUCAGUGUGGCUCUGCUUCAGUCACCUCAAAAGAAGGUGCUUAGACCAUCUGUAAUUUUAAUAUGUGUGCAUUUGGAUACAUAUAGACUAUGUAAAGAGAGAGGUAAAUGGAUUUAUGUUUUCCAGUGAUUUCAUAAUAAAUCCCUUAAGAGAGCUUAUUUCAUUUAA